CCUACGGGUGGCAGCAGUGAGGAAUAUUGGUCAAUGGCCGUAAGGCUGAACCAGCCAAGCCGCGUGAAGGAAGAAGGACCUAUGGUUUGCAAACUUCUUUUAUAGGGGAAUAAAGGUAUGUACGUGUGGAUACCUGCAUGUACCCUAUGAAUAAGCAUCGGCUAACUUCGUGCCAGCAGCCGCGGUAAUACGGAGGAUCCGAGCGUUAUCCGGAUUGAUUGGGUUUAAAGGGAGCGUAGGUGGAUUUUUAAGUCAGUUGUGAAAGUUUGCGGCUCAACCGUAGAGUUGCAGUUGAAACGGGCAGUCUUGAGUGCAGUAGAGGUGGGCGGAAUUCGUGGUGUAGCGGUGAAAUGCUUAGAUAUCACGAAGAACCCCGAUUGCGAAGGCAGCUUACUGGACUGCAACUGACGCUGAGGCUCGAAAGUGUGGGUAUCAAACAGGAUUAGAUACCCGUGUAGUC
rnacentral:rRNA from 1 species